rnacentral:misc_RNA from 1 species
UCCUUGUCCUUUAAGGACAUGCUGGACCACACGCCAUCUACUGAAAGAACAGGCCAUGGUCGCCAUUAAAGUGUCAGAAACUGGCGCCAUUUUUUUUUAAAUACAUAUUUUUUUUCCUAGCACAAGAAACCAACGAUAUCUCCCGUAGAAUGCCAGACAAGAUAUGCGUAAUUGAAAACCCUUUUUUGCAAGUUUCUACAUGCACGCGAUUUAUAUUGUUUCGUGCACGCUCAAGUCAAUUUCAUUAUCUUUAAAUACGUAUAUCUGCAUGAUUUUUCCUUUGACGUUUCUAACUGCAAUUAUCUCAAAUAACUUCCUUGGAAUACCGAUAUGCUGCUUUUAAAAUCGAUAUUCUGAUGUUGAAAAAUAAAUCUGCAGCUAUCCGAGUCUCGGAGACGUGAGAUUGCUGGGAUUUCGGCCCCGGGUUAAAUUCAACGUUUCUAGGAAACUCCAUUUGAUGUGUAUACAGUGCCUUUCAUCUGAUCGAUCUUGUGGCUUCACCUUUACUUUUUUUUAUAUGUUUUAUUAAAACCUGCAAUAAAGCGAUUUUAAAUUG